UUCUUGCCAGAAUUCCUUCUUUUCCCACUAACUUCCUUUCUUUUUUCUUUCCUUUUUUUCUUUCUUCCUCCAACACAUGUUUGUUAGGGCCUCUAGCUCUACAUAGCCAUAUUAAACUCUUUGGAGAAAUAACUUGCAAAGACUGGAGAUCUAAGAACUCUGAAUGUGGGAACUGAAUGCCAGAUCUUGGAUUCUCAGUGGGAAGUGUGGCCUGGAGAAGAAGUUUACAAUGUUACAUGUUUCUGAGGACCCUUCAUACUUCAAGCUCAAGUCCAGCUUGCCAAGUUCCAGUUUUUAUCUGAUCAUCUUUGCAUCAAUAAUACAUGAAGCUGAGAUCUUCUGAAAAGAGGAUACUAUUCUCCCCCCUCACUGAAUGCUUUGCUUUUGCCAGCACCAACAUUGAUUUGGAUUUAAUAAUCUGUAGUCCUUUUGGUUUGAUCACACUUCUCAGGAAACCCCAAAAAGAGCCAUGGCCACAUAUCCACCAACAUGGAAUCAAUUGCUCCUUCUUAAUAAAUGCAAUCAUUGAACACCUGA